CUGAUCCUCUGACAGCGUGGAUAAUGCAGUCAGAGGCAGAACUGCUGCCCAGUGCAGUAAACAAAGCUCACUCUUCUGCAGGUCUUCAGGCUUAAAUGUGCUGCUUAAAAGAGCCUGUGAGCCUCAGUCUCUCCAUACCUGUGGAUUUACCCAGUUACAGCUGACUCGAGCCCAGAUGUAAACCACAGCCUUGUGGUGGCUACUGAGAGGAAAAUGAACUCCAUCCCAGUCAGAACCUGCACAAGGCAUGGGAGUACCACAGUGAAAAGGCAG